UCGUCGCCCUCCUCUCUCUCUCUCUCUCUCUCUCUCUCUCUCUCUCUCUCUCUCUCGCUAACCCCUCUCUCCCCAUCGCGCCGGCCGGUUCCGGCCAGCACCGGCCCGCGCGUCUCCCCCGCGACCCCCGCCUCCUCUCCUGCCGUCGCCGCCGCAGGAGAAGCUCGCCUCCGCGCCCACAAGCCUCGGAUUCGGCGGGAUCCGGGACGAGGAGGGGUGGAUGAGACGGGGGAGGAGGAGGAGGAGGAGAGUGUGGGGCGUCUGGGGAGGAAUAUCCCGGCCGCCUCCUCCGCUCGUGACACAGGGCCUCGGGCCAUGGGGGCGUUCGUUGCAGGAGCCUCGCCUCUGGCCUCCCGUGCGCGGCGCCCGGCCCUGGCAGCACUGACCUCGCCGAUGGCCUCCUGUGCGCUACCUUUUCUUCCCCGACAACGCCUGCCCGCACAUCUCGCCUGCCGCCUCCAGCUACUCGCUCCCCGAGUUCUAUUGAAGCUGCUGGCCGCGAUCUGGACGAGGAAAAGGAGACCCUGGAGGAAGUUACAGCGUCGUUGUGGUGGCUCGAUCGAUGAGGCCGACGGCGGGCACUGGUGAGCGCCGGGGAGGCCGCCACCUCUCCUCACCUCCUCCCAGGUUCCCGAUCUGGAGCGAAGGGACGGAUGCCGGCGAGGCCAACCUCCCCUUCACACACAGGCAAGGUCGAACCCCAACACCGAGAAGGUAUCUUGGCACCAAAUCAUCGCGAGAAGAAGGGUAUGUGUUGCUGUGCAUGAGGUGUUAAUACUUAAUAAAGUUUUGCAUUCUUUGUUCUGGUGGAUUUGGUGUGUUUGGUUGACAUCUAUGCUGAAUUUAUUUUCCUGAGAUUGUUCUGGUGUUUUUGGUGCAAACUGAUUAAGGAGGGCUGGAGUUUGUCAAGUUUGCCAUGUAUGCCUAAUAUAAUUUUCUUAGAUUGCUACUGCAAUUGUAUGAUUGUGAUCCCAGUAGGUCAAGACUACAUUUGUGUUGUUGAACCGAGAUUCGCUAAGCUUGGCAAAGAGGAUAAAUUUUUCUUUUGCAGAUAACUGGGCUCUAAAAGAUUCAAUAGUUACAUGUGGUUUUGCAUCUGCAGUUUCUUUGCAUGUAUUUUUUGAGGUUUUUGAUGACCAGAAUUAUGAAAUUUUCUUGGUUAAAAUCUUUAUAUGUGGCAUGAUCUCUGAAAACAAAAUAGAGUAAUAUAGUUUCCUUCAAGCUGUCAUUGCAACAGAAGAUGAAAUGUAUCUUCAUGAUCAGUAGAUCCGUGCGUGAUGCCGCCUGUUGUAGUUCUAUCGCUAUGCAGACAUGUUGAAGAAAUGCAAGUAAUAUAGUUUUGAUGAUGUCUGAGUGUAUCUUGUGGAUGUGUAGAUAAAGCAGCCUUGUUCAGAAGUGCUUUGUCAAGUUCCUGUAAAAAAGCUUUCUAGAUAUACAUUAUGUUUACAGUUUCGCUCGGCUUCCCUAAUCCCAAAGGUAAUAAUAUGAUUCCUUUAUGUUGUUUGCCCAGAUUCAGAAGUGAAUUUUUGAGGUAUAUUUGCUUCUUGUGUGUACUGUAAAUUCUAAGCUUUCUAGGCAUACAUGUGCACGUGUAUUUUUUAGGUACUAAUAGUAUUUCUUUAUGUUGUAAACUCUAAGUGUCUUGUAAACUCUUAAGCUUUCUAGGCGUUCAUGUACAUGUGUAUUUUUUUUAGGUAAUAAUAUGAUUUCUGUAUGUGGUUGCCCAAAUUCAGAAGUGAACUUUGCUGUAUAUUAGUCAGCAUCUCCUGCAUGACCUUUUAAACUUCAAUGCAGCUGUACAAGGUUUGUGAUGAUUUUUUCCCAGUUUUGUCUUGAUUUAGACUUUUGUAGUUACACGUGUUAUGUUUGUUCACCAUGCUAAUCAUGAGGGUUUUACAGGAGGAUUUAGACUCACACGAGCUUUCAUUGUAACAGAGCUGCUGAACUUAAACAGAUGUUCUCCCGCAUAUCCAUGCCCAAACUGAAACCUAUAUAAUUUACGCCACUUAACCAUAGCAAUGUUUCAUCCAUUGAGAGAAUUAAAAAAUUGACAUAAAUUUGCUCACUGCAGAUCCUCCGAACAGGAAACCGGCGGGGAGCAUGCCACCGUAGGGGAAGGGCAGGGGAGACAUGGUGGCGGCUAGCUGGCCCAAGCUGCGAACGCCCAUCGGCGACUUUCGUUGGGGUCCAUACCAUUCUUCCUCCCCUCACUCCAAUGCCAAAACCAGUAGGUGCAGCAAGAAGGUCAAGCAUCAAUGAGGUGCACAUCCGCACAUGGGUGGCGUGAACAGAUGGCUACCCCAAGAUAAUCUGAACUAGCUUGCAGCAUCCGAUGAGAAACCAAGCCAGUUUCUCAGCAUGGCAGAUAACUCUCUAGACAUGAUCAUGUCUCUAGCAGUUAAGUUUUGAACUGGAACAGUUGAUCACAUUAUAACUGUUCCUGCUACUGCAGGUUCGACUUGAAUUUUGUAUUAUGUACAGAUGGUGUUGGUGUGCCUCUCCAUAGGUUUCUACCUCCCGGAAUUCAUCUUCCUAUUGCCACAUAAUUACAUCCUUUGUUUUUGGGAAAUCAAUGUAUAGAUACAUUGUUUCUCUCUACAGUGCGCAUGCUCUUUUAUUUGUUUUUGGAUAGAUUCUUCCAUUGAUUUCUUGCUAUGCUUGGAUAACUAGAGUAUCUAAUUCGAAAUUAUCCAGUCUUUUGUAUGUUCACUUGCAUAGAUGGCUUAAUCCAGAACCUAAAGUGAAGAAAAUAUAGCACAUAUACUUGGUCAUUUCUCCUAAGAAGAUUAAUCCACCUGGACUUUUAACUUGACUUCCAAAAAAAUUCUGAAUGAUCAAGCAUGUUCGGGUUUUUAGUAAACUGAAAUAAUGUUGCACUCUGACAAUAGUAUUCUGAUUUUCUAAGUUAACAAAAUCUUCUCACAUACGCGAUACGUCAUGCAUAUCGGGUCGUAGUCGGAGCACAACUAAGGUUGGCGCUGCUCAAGUGUUUGCAGCGGGAUCCUCUUCUACAACGGCGAUGACAAGGGCUCCGCUCCCAGUUCAGUCUAUCAACUACACACACAACUCCUGGACCUGCCUUCAGAUUUAAGGCAAGCGCUUCAGUACUUCCUUGUG